CCCUCCUUAGCAACAGUGUGUCUGUCUUCUUCCUCCAAUUUCACAGCCCCCUCCUCCCCAUUAGGCUACUCCUCAUAGCUGAGGGUCAUUCUGUUCAUUUUAUGUCAUCUCUUCAUCUGAUACUAUGAUGCAGACUCAUGAGAGUCCCGAAAGGUGAAUCUGAUGGUGAUUUGGUCUUACACGUAGAGAGGUUCUCCAAUGUGUGCUCUAACUUCUCCUGUGGGCAGCCUCUAGCCUUCAUACUGAAGCAAAGUGGAUACCAUAAGGAAAUUUUCCUUGCAGGAAGACUCACCUGGAAACACACUGUCUGCAAGUGCUGCCCAUAGCUUGGGCAGGGCCACCUAUAGUAUCUUGACACAGAAUACCCAAAACGCCUGUCUGUCACUGAGGCAGGUCUCAGGAGUACUACACAGUCCUCAGUGAUGGGCAGAGGUCAUGGGUAAACCCUACUAUCAACAUGAAGACAUUAAUGAGUGAGGAGCCUGAGAAGUAAUUAGGCCUUGAGGACACAACCCUUAUUAAUGAAAUUAAUUUGGCCUCAGCACCGAUCCACAGCAAGAUGAUGCCAUCCUGUCAUACCGCCAUCCCCAGAGCAAAAUUGAAAAAAAGAAACAAAAAACGAAAAAGAAAGAGUUCCAGGGGGCUGUGUUAUUCUUUCCUUUUCACAUGUGAAGACUAAAAUUCCAGAAUGUUCCAUCUGUGAGCCAGAUAGGAGCCAUUGUCUGACACAGACACAUCAUUUACUGAUGCCUCAAUCCUAGAACUCCUUAGCAUCAAGAACCAUAAGAAAAAAAAAUUCUGGUUUGUAGUCACCCAGGCUAAAGUAAUUUACUGUAAAACUCCAGAUGGUCUAAGACAUUCUUCUUGGGCAUGACUGGACAAAUUUUAUCUCCCUAAAUUCAUUAAUAAAAAU